rnacentral:lncRNA from 1 species
UGGAUUGGAGAUCAUCUGUGCUGAUUUUGGACAAAUCUUCUGUCUGUAAAAAAAAUAUAUGCAAAAUAUUAACUAGGGAAUAGUUGGUAGAAACAUUUUAAGACAAAUACAAUGUAUUUACUCGUAACUACAUGAUAUAUCUUAACGACCCAAAGACAUGACGUAAAUUUACUCGAAAAGAAAUCGGUUGCACACCAGUUUGUUAUCACAACAACUAGUAUUGUAUCAGUCCUUAUUUAGGACUGAAGACUGCAGUCCCGUCGAGCUCAGUUCUGAAUAUCAGUCCUAAAACUGAUAAAACUCGUUCCUUCGUUACUUCACUCAAAGUUUAUUUCAUCCUUUUUAAAUCAGUUCUGAGUGUCUAAAGGUACGUCCCGAUAGACUGAAACGAAUAAAUGAGGACGGACACAAUGCUAAAUACAACCACCUGAAUAGAACUCUUACAAUAUAUUCCUUUAAGAAUACGAUUUUCUGUUUAAAAAAAUAUUUAAUAAAAUCACACAUAUGAUAUAAAGUCAUUCAUACAUA